rnacentral:rRNA from 1 species
CAAUAGCGUAUAUUAAAGUUGUUGCAGUUAAAAAGCUCGUAGUUGGAUUUGUGGUGUACUUCGGCGGCCCGUCACUAUGUGAUGGAGCUUGCUGAAGUCGCCAUCCUUGGGUGGAUCCUGUGUGGCAUUAAGUUGUCGUGCAGGGGAUGCCCAUCGUUUACUGUGAAGAAAUUAGAGUGUUCAAAGCAGGCUUAUGCCGUUGAAUAUAUUAGCAUGGAAUAAUAAGAUAGGACCUUGGUACUAUUUUGUUGGUUUGCGCACCAAGGUAAUGAUUAAUAGGGACAGUUGGGGGUAUUCGUAUUUCAUUGUCAGAGGUGAAAUUCUUGGAUUUUUGAAAGACGAACUACUGCGAAAGCAUUUACCAAGGAUGUUUUCAUUA